rnacentral:rRNA from 1 species
UACGGGGGGAGCAAGCGUUGUUCGGAUUUACUGGGCGUAAAGGGCGCGUAGGCGGCCACCGCAAGUCAGUUGUGAAAUCUCUGGGCUUAACCCAGAACGGUCAGCUGAUACUGCGGGGCUAGAGUGCAGAAGGGGCAACUGGAAUUCUCGGUGUAGCGGUGAAAUGCGUAGAUAUCGAGAGGAACACCUGCGGCGAAGGCGGGUUGCUGGGCUGACACUGACGCUCAUGCACGAAAGCGUGGGGAGCAAACAGG